rnacentral:SRP_RNA from 1 species
GCCGGACGCGGUGGCGCGCGCCUGUAGUCCCAGCUACUCGGGAGGCUGAGAUGGGAGGAUCGCUUGAGCCAGGAGUUCUGGGCUGUAGUGCGCUAUGCCGAUCAGGUGUCCGCACUAAGUUGGGCAUCAAUAUGGUGACCUCCCGGGAGCGGGGGACCACCAGGUUGCCUAAGGAGGGGUGAACCGGCCCAGGUCGGAAACGGAGCAGGUCAAAACUCCCGUGCUGAUCAGUAGUGGGAUCACGCCUGUGAAUAGCCACUGCACUCCAGCCUGGGCAACAUAGCGAGACCCCGUCUCU